rnacentral:rRNA from 1 species
UUCUUCCGUAGGGUACCUGCGGAAGGAUCAUUA